ACCAGAGAUGCACAUGAGUCACAAGAGAAUGCAACAAUCAGUAUCUCCUUCAGGGCAGUAUCAAAUUUGCCAGAAUAUGAAGGAAUGAGUGAAAGAAAGGAAAAUCCUGCAAGUGAAUGUCUUCAUGAAAAUCCAUGAACUCUGGCUCCAAAGCACUGCUGCAGUCACAGGUCCAACCCUUCUAGAGCAUCCUGUUGCAAAGUGACACAGGACUACUUGGUGGAUGAAAACUGGCUGUCUAGACUCACACAUUUGUUCAAUGGCUCCUUGUGUUUGUAGAGACCAGAGACAAGUGGUGUCCCUCAGGGGCUGGUACUGGGGCCAAUACUGCUCAAUAUCUCUGGUGCACUCUGGGUUUAGUGCACCCUCAGUAAUUUGCUGACAGCACCAAGGUGAGUGGUGCAGUUGACACCAGGGAGGGAAGGAUGCCAUCCAGAGGGUCCUUGACAUGCUUCAGAGGUGGGCAGAUGCAAACUUCAUAAAGUUCAGCAGUGCAAAGUGCAACGCCCUGCAACUGGGUGACAGCAAUCCCAGACAAACCAACAGGUUGGGCAGAGAGGUGACUGAGAGCAAGCCCAUGGAAAAAGGCUUUGGGAUGAUGGUUGGUGAAAAACCCAAUGUGAGCCAUCAGUGUGUGCUCACAGCCCGGAAAGCCAAACCAGUCCUGGGCUGCACCAGAAGAGCUGUGGCCAGCAGGAUGACAGAGGGGAUUCUGCUCCUCCACUCUGCUCUUGGGAGACCCACUCUGGAGUGCUGCAUUGAAUUCUGGUGCCUCCAAUAGGAAGGACAUGGACCCGUUGGAGCAAGUACAGAGGAGUGUCACAAAGGUGAUAAGAGGACUGGAGCACUCCCCCUAUGGAGACAGGCUGAGAAAUUUGGGGCUGUUUACCCUGGAAAAGAGAAGGUUGCAUUAGGACCUCAUAGCAGCAUUCCAGGAUCUGAAGGGGUCUGCAGGGAAGCUGGAGAGGGACUUUGUCAGAACUGUAGAGAUAGGACAAGGAGCAAUGGGUACCAACUGAAAGAGGGGAGAUUUAGUCUAGUGUUAGGAAGAAAAUCUUUUCUAUGAGGCACUGAAAGAGGUUGCCCAGGGAGGCUGUGAAUGCCCCAACCCUGGCAAUGUUCAAGACUGUGUUGGAUCAAGUGGGAGGUGUCUCUGCCCAUGGCAGGGGCAUUUCGGACUAGAUGAUCUCUGUAGUCUCUUACAACACUUAACACUCUAUAAUUCUCUGGUUCUAGAGAGAACUCCCUGGAGAACAUUUUCUAGGGCUCUCUCCAUUCCAGUUCUAAGUGAUAAAACAAAUAACUACUUUCCAUUAGUACUUACAAAUUCAGUUACCUUCAAAUGUAUGUUCUUGGGGAUUUUUUUUUGUUUUUGGAUUUUUUUUUUGUUGGAUAAAGGUUUCUUUCCCUUUUUUGAAUUUUUUGAGACACCCCAUCUCCCUUGUUAUUAACUAAGAAUCAUGCAAAGAAACCAAAGGCCUUUAUCCAGGCUU